rnacentral:rRNA from 1 species
GAUCAUGGCUCAGGACGAACGCUGGCGGCGUGCUUAACACAUGCAAGUCGAACGGAGCACCCUUGAAUGAGGUUUCGGCCAAAGGAAAGGAAUGCUUAGUGGCGGACUGGUGAGUAACGCGUGAGGAACCUGCCCUUUCAGAGGGGGGACAACAGCUGGAAACGGCUGCUAAUACCGCAUGACGCAUUCGGAUGGCAUCAUCUGAAUGCCAAAGNUUUAUCGCUGAAAGAUGG